rnacentral:ribozyme from 12 species
GACAGACACCCACACUGACAGAGAAAAAUCAAAGAGCAAAUAGAGAUAUCAGCGAAAACCCACUGAUACGGACGCGAAUGCUGUUUGACUUUUCGUUGAUUCGUUUGGUUUUGU